GUUUAUGGCCAUGCCACCCUGAACAAGCCCGAUCUGGUCUGAGCUCAGAAGCUAAGCAGGGUCGGGUCUGGUUAGUACUUGGAUGGGAGACCACCUAGGAAGACCAAGUGCUGUAGGUG
rnacentral:rRNA from 1 species